GGGGACCCACAACGUGUUACCGGUUUUCAUUUUGCUGGGGCUCGCAUUUGAAGCAAGGGCUCUAGUGAGGAGGUGGUGUAGACUCAGCGGGUCAUUUAGGUCCGUGUGAAGUCGAGUUGCCUGCCCAGCACCUAUAGCUCAACUAGGUUUUAUUGUUCUCUACCUGCCAAUAGUUGAUUUAUGAUGGAUUCCAAGAGAAAAGCUAAGGGCAGCCUGGAGUACAUCAGAUGUGGUCUCAGGGAGGUCUUCGUGGAAGUCAGGAAUACUUGGACCUCAGCCAACCUCUCGAACAGUAUUCACCUAGUUACCCUGACACAAGAAGUUCUUGUUCUUCAGGAGAUGAUUCUGUUUUUUCUCCAGACCCCAUGCCUUACGAACCAUGCCUUCCUCAGUAUCCACACAUAAACGGCAGUGUUAAAACAUGAAUGACUGUGUCUGCCUGUCCCCAAACAGGACAGCACUGGGAACCUAGCUACACUGAGCAGGGAGACCAUGCC
rnacentral:sRNA from 1 species